CUGGCUUUGAACCCAGAGUUUUCCUCCCUAUUUCUGAGCGCUGGAGAGGAGGACUGUGCUACCUCGCUUCUCUUUGUUCAGCUCUGUCUGUGCCUCUUUCUGAAGUUUCUGACCUGAGACCUGUUGGAACUUUCCCUCUAGUUCCACUCCAGAGAGCUCUCUUGGUUUCUGAAAUCUUUCUUAGCUUAGGAAACUGUCCCCACACCUUCUGUGUUUACUUAGGAGCUUACAUGUGUGUUAUUGAUGUUGUGCAGACCUGGGCUCGGCAAACAAAAGGACCUUUUGCAACACGAAGCUCCAGCAGGUUUUCAAUAAAGCCUGGUUAAAAUUUGAAUGACUCCCCAAGUAGAUCUUCACGUAGCACCAGGUAAACAGAGGUUCAGCAGGGAGAUGUAAUUGUACCAGCACUGCCAUUUCUUCCAUCACCAGCUUGGAAGGUGCAGGGCUUGGAUUUGCACUCAGGGCUGCUUGGCCUGAGGCUGGGGCCUCUAACCAUCUGGCCACCCGGCUUCCCAAGCCCACUAGUUGGUGACCGCUGUCGGCAGUAAGGGUCUACACAAGAGGAGACUCCAAGCUGGAGGCAUGAUCUGAGUGCCAAGGCCCACACGUGUCGGUGAGCACUUCAAGACAUCUCAAGAGAGAGACACGUUGGCGGCAGUGCCCUGAAAGCCUGCUGCUGUCAGCCCCGCGUGGCCAUUGCCGAUUAUUAAAAUAAUGGUAUGGCUUUGUGUUCA
ensembl:lincRNA